UGGGGAAUUUUGGACAAUGGGCGAAAGCCUGAUCCAGCAAUGCCGCGUGUGUGAAGAAGGCCUUCGGGUUGUAAAGCACUUUUGUCCGGAAAGAAAUCCUUGGCUCUAAUACAGGUCGGGGAUGACGGUAACCGGGAAGAAUCGAAGCACCGGCUAACUACGUGCCAGCAGGCCGCGGUAAUACGGUAAGGGUGCAAUGCGUUGAAUUCGGAAUUACUGGGGCGUAAAGCGUGCGCAGGCGGUUUGCUAAGACCGAUGUGAAAUCCCCGGGCUCAACCUGGGAACUGCAUUGGUGACUGGCAGGCUAGAGUAUGGCAGAGGGGGGUAGAAUUCCACGUGUAGCAGUGAAAUGCGUAGAGAUGUGGAGGAAUACCGAUGGCGAAGGCAGCCCCCUGGGCCAAUACUGACGCUCAUGCACGAAAGCGUGGGGAGCAAACAGGAUUAGAUACCCUGGUAGUCCACGCCCUAAAACGAUGUCAACUAGUUGUUGGGGAUUCAUUUUCCUUAGUAACGUAGCUAACGCGUGAAGUUGACCGCCUGGGGAGUACGGUCGCAAGAUUAAAACUUAAAUGAAUUGACGGGGUCAUAGCUGUUUCCU
rnacentral:rRNA from 1 species